UAGAGUCUUGCGAAACAAUACACAAUUAUUCUUGCAAACAUGAAUAGAUUCAUAGCCAAGUCCGAUCGCACGUAUGUACUUCAUUGCAUCAUCGUAAGAUGUCAGAACACAUGCUCCUUGGAAAGCAAAGACACCAUCAGAAUCGCAUUGAAUGUGACAUUACUGAUCCAAUAGAAAGACUUGAUAUGAAGUAACUUCACAACAAACGUAAAUUGUGUAUAUAGAUCCUGAUGACACGUUACUUUUUAAAUGAUCCUCUAUACAUUCUAACAUUUUCUGUUCAAGCACUUUAGCAUGGCACAUGUCGGCUAUCAUUUCAGGAAGUCCAUCUUUAGUGCCUUCAUCCUCCUCCAUACCCGAUAUGUGUUCGUUUUCCUAAACCAUUUCUUGAUCACCAUCUUCUUGUAGAACUCCAUUAUCCUCAACCCCCUCAUCCGGCAGAAUUGCAAUUUCCUCAACCCCAUCAUCCUGC
rnacentral:lncRNA from 1 species